GUACACAAAAAUGCACAUAUUGUGAGCUCGAUGAGUAGGGCGGGACACGUGGUAUCCUGUCUGAAUAUGGGGGGACCAUCCUCCAAGGCUAAAUACUCCUGACUGACCGAUAGUGAACCAGUACCGUGAGGGAAAGGCGAAAAGAACCCCGGCGAGGGGAGUGAAAAAGAACCUGAAACCGUGUACGUACAAGCAGUGGGAGCCUCUUAAUGGGGUGACUGCGUACCUUUUGUAUAAUGGGUCAGCGACUUAUAUUCUGUAGCAAGGUUAACCGAAUAGGGGAGCCGAAGGGAAACCGAGUCUUAACUGGGCGUUAAGUUGCAGGGUAUAGACCCGAAACCCGGUGAUCUAGCCAUGGGCAGGUUGAAGGUUGGGUAACACUAACUGGAGGACCGAACCGACUAAUGUUGAAAAAUUAGCGGAUGACUUGUGGCUGGGGGUGAAAGGCCAAUCAAACCGGGAGAUAGCUGGUUCUCCCCGAAAGCUAUUUAGGUAGCGCCUCGUGAAUUCAUCUCCGGGGGUAGAGCACUGUUUCGGCAAGGGGGUCAUCCCGACUUACCAACCCGAUGCAAACUGCGAAUACCGGAGAAUGUUAUCACGGGAGACACACGGCGGGUGCUAACGUCCGUCGUGAAGAGGGAAACAACCCAGACCGCCAGCUAAGGUCCCAAAGUCAUGGUUAAGUGGGAAACGAUGUGGGAAGGCCCAGACAGCCAGGAUGUUGGCUUAGAAGCAGCCAUCAUUUAAAGAAAGCGUAAUAGCUCACUGGUCGAGUCGGCCUGCGCGGAAGAUGUAACGGGGCUAAACCAUGCACCGAAGCUGCGGCAGCGACACUAUGUGUUGUUGGGUAGGGGAGCGUUCUGUAAGCCUGUGAAGGUGGCCUGUGAGGGUUGCUGGAGGUAUCAGAAGUGCGAAUGCUGACAUAAGUAACGAUAAAGCGGGUGAAAAGCCCGCUCGCCGGAAGACCAAGGGUUCCUGUCCAACGUUAAUCGGGGCAGGGUGAGUCGACCCCUAAGGCGAGGCCGAAAGGCGUAGUCGAUGGGAAACAGGUUAAUAUUCCUGUACUUGGUGUUACUGCGAAGGGGGGACGGAGAAGGCUAUGUUGGCCGGGCGACGGUUGUCCCGGUUUAAGCGUGUAGGCUGGUUUUCCAGGCAAAUCCGGAAAACCAAGGCUGAGGCGUGAUGACGAGGCACUACGGUGCUGAAGCGACAAAUGCCCUGCUUCCAGGAAAAGCCUCUAAGCAUCAGGUAACAUCAAAUCGUACCCCAAACCGACACAGGUGGUCAGGUAGAGAAUACCAAGGCGCUUGAGAGAACUCGGGUGAAGGAACUAGGCAAAAUGGUGCCGUAACUUCGGGAGAAGGCACGCUGAUAUGUAGGUGAAGCGACUUGCUCGUGGAGCUGAAAUCAGUCGAAGAUACCAGCUGGCUGCAACUGUUUAUUAAAAACACAGCACUGUGCAAACACGAAAGUGGACGUAUACGGUGUGACGCCUGCCCGGUGCCGGAAGGUUAAUUGAUGGGGUUAGCGGCAACGCGAAGCUCUUGAUCGAAGCCCCGGUAAACGGCGGCCGUAACUAUAACGGUCCUAAGGUAGCGAAAUUCCUUGUCGGGUAAGUUCCGACCUGCACGAAUGGCGUAAUGAUGGCCAGGCUGUCUCCACCCGAGACUCAGUGAAAUUGAACUCGCUGUGAAGAUGCAGUGUACCCGCGGCAAGACGGAAAGACCCCGUGAACCUUUACUAUAGCUUGAUACUGAACAUUGAGCCUUGAUGUGUAGGAUAGGUGGGAGGCUUUGAAGUGUGGACGCCAGUCUGCAUGGAGCCGGCCUUGAAAUACCACCCUUUAAUGUUUGAUGUUCUAACGUGGGCCCCUUACCGGGGUUGCGGACAGUGUCUGGUGGGUAGUUUGACUGGGGCGGUCUCCUCCUAAAGAGUAACGGAGGAGCACGAAGGUUGGCUAAUCCUGGUCGGACAUCAGGAGGUUAGUGCAAUGGCAUAAGCCAGCUUGACUGCGAGCGUGACGGCGCGAGCAGGUGCGAAAGCAGGUCAUAGUGAUCCGGUGGUUCUGAAUGGAAGGGCCAUCGCUCAACGGAUAAAAGGUACUCCGGGGAUAACAGGCUGAUACCGCCCAAGAGUUCAUAUCGACGGCGGUGUUUGGCACCUCGAUGUCGGCUCAUCACAUCCUGGGGCUGAAGUAGGUCCCAAGGGUAUGGCUGUUCGCCAUUUAAAGUGGUACGCGAGCUGGGUUUAGAACGUCGUGAGACAGUUCGGUCCCUAUCUGCCGUGGGCGCUGGAGAACUGAGGGGGGCUGCUCCUAGUACGAGAGGACCGGAGUGGACGCAUCACUGGUGUUCGGGUUGUCAUGCCAAUGGCACUGCCCGGUAGCUAAAUGCGGAAGAGAUAAGUGCUGAAAGCAUCUAAGCACGAAACUUGCCCCGAGAUGAGUUCUCCCUGACCCUUUAAGGGUCCUGAAGGAACGUUGAAGACGACGACGUUGAUAGGCCGGGUGUGUAAGCGCAGCGAUGCGUUGAGCUAACCGGUACUAAUGAACCGUGAGG
rnacentral:rRNA from 1 species